CCUUCUGGUGAUGGGCAGCUACGGCCACUCUCAACUGCACGAUUUGCUUCCGGGAUCGACGACCAGCCGGAUACUGCGUCGUUCACCGGUCCCCCUGCUCAUCGCGCACUGAUUGCGGUUCUCUGGAUCCCCUGCCCGGUGAUUGACAGUCGUCAAGGCGACGCCAUGCGUCGCAUCAUAGGCUCGUUCAGUGUUUUCGCACCAGCUCGGGG
rnacentral:misc_RNA from 1 species